CCUCUUUUACACUUUUUUGCAGAUGACUAUCUUUUGAUUGCUCGUGCCUCGAUCCGAAAUGCGAGGUAUUUUGCUUCUAUCGUUGAGACCUACUAUUGGAUUUUGGGAUAGCUAGUGAAUUUGUAGAAGUCCAUAGUUAUCUUUAGUCCCAAGAUGAAGGCCCAAGUGAAGCAGGCGAUUUGGAAGAGUCUGGAGAUCUAGAAGCAGGUGGGGCUCUGUCCUAUCUGGGGUUCCUCUUAUUGGUCAGCAUCUUCGGAGGCUGAUUGCAGGCCUAUGGUGCAACGGAUCCAAGAUCAUCUCAAGAGCUGGCAUGCCAACACUCUCUCUAUGAUGGGC
rnacentral:lncRNA from 1 species